rnacentral:lncRNA from 1 species
GCGCUGAGACUUCAAUCAGGAGCAGCUCCGGGUCCAGAUUUGCUGGGUGUAUCUGUGCUGCGGCGAUGGCAAAUUAAAAGCAAAUAUCAUUGGCGAAAAAAAUCAAUUAAAAUCAAAUAAGGCUUUGGGUAAAUAUGCAGCUGAUUUAAAAUUAUUUUUAUGCUGCCACAAGCGGCAGGCACGGCAGCUGAUGCCGCUCCCUUCACCGCCUCAUUAAAGCACACAAAUGAUUGAAAGAAUCGAGAAACGAGGGCCAGCAUGCUGGCCGGAGCAAUUGGCAAGCCCUCGGAAUCAACAGCACCACCGACACUCGAUAGUGUUUCAAUGGUCGCCCCACUCGACACGGGCAUUGCAGUCGUGGCGGCAUUGCAGCCUCUCCUCCAGCCGCACUGUGGGCCGCAUCAGUCAAGUGCAAUUCAAUGGCGGCUCCACGGACUCCGAUUCGAGGACAAACAAGAAAGCGGACAAUUAAUAAAAAUGGAAUUUACUUUUAUGCAUCGCCCUGUACUCGGUUUCACUACCCGUCUCUGGACGCUGCCGCCAUGUCCGGCAAUGUCAAACAAUCUUUUGGUCCUUUUGUGCCCUUGUUGGCAAAUUAUUCCGCAUCUCAUCAUAAUGAUAAUUACGUGGAGAGGGUGUCCGUGGAGAGCGGCCUUUCGCAUCGAAAUGCUUCACCAAGAAAGAAGAUUGUGGAAAUAAUCGCUGGACCAAUGCGUCUGACUGGGUCCCAGAGUGAUUUAUACUGAAAACAGUCAAUCAAAUUAAGGCGAGAACGGGCCGCAAUACAAUACUCCGACUGAUUGAAGCCUUUCAUUGCCUUACACAAAUUAAAGAGAUUCUCCGAGCUGAUAGAAUAGCC